rnacentral:SRP_RNA from 1 species
GCCAGGCAUGGUGGCGCAUGCCUGUAAUCCCAGCUACUUGGGAGGCUGAGACUGGAGAAUCACUUGAACCUGGGAGACGGAGGUUGCAGUGAGCCGAGAUCACGCCACUGCACUCCAGCCUGGGUGACAGAGUAAGACUCUGUCUCAA